rnacentral:lncRNA from 1 species
GAUGUAAUUGAUAAUUUGCACCUGUUUUCUGAUUAUUUUUUAUAAGAGUAAGAUAUUAGAAAAUACUUGUUGCUAUUUUUCCAUACACAACGACAAAUAUUUAUAAAUAUUCCUGCCGCAAUCACUACAUCUGAUUUAGAUGAAAAUUUCAUCAGACAUAAAAUACCAGAGGAUUUAGAUUAAAUCAAUUUUGAACAUGUGUUAUGAGAAUAGAAAUGGAUUAUGAUGUCACCCAGUUCACUUUAGGUUCAAGAUUCCAACAGGCAGUGAUCUCAUAAAUCUCUAUUCCUAAUUGCUAGAAGAUUAAAUUAUGAUCUGAUUGAGACCAAGCCCUAGAUGUCAUCCAUUUUACGCAUACAGCAUGGUAUCCAGUGCAGGCCUUCAGCAGAUUCAAACAUUUUUUAAUUGAGUAACUAGUUUAUUCUGAGUUCAACAUACAGAAAUAGCUAAUCCUCCUACGGUUCUCAAAAUACGGAUCAUAUAUCCUGCGGCUCAGAAAAGGGAGUCCGGAAAUAGAGAGCAUGAGAAAACAUCUAAAGCAUCCAGAAAUCCUCUCCUGGACACCUUCCAAGAGGCAGGCUGAAUCAUCCUUCAGCCCCAGAGAAGGGGAAGCCAAUUUCAGGUGUUCAGACUCCGUUUUUAACAGGAACCCAGACUAAGGAGUUGGCAUUGGAAAUCAGACUGAGGAUGGGAUUGAGGAUCUCACUGGCCAAUAGGCAAGAAGACUGUGGCGAGUGGUAAGUGAAACCUGUGAGUCAAUGAGAGGCAAGUUCUGUUCUGGGAACUGACAGGAGUUAUGGCUACAGUGCUGCAGGGCUAAGACCAAGAACUGAGGCUGGAG